CCCCAUAGGGGAGGUAGGAGAGGUUGCGGGGGAUAGAAGAGGGCGACGGGUAGCAGCUGUUGAGGCUCAGUGUUUAUGAGGGGAGUUUCGUACAGACACUGUGAGAGAAGAGGCCUAGAAAUGUUUGGCGGAAGCGGAAUAUAAGGAUUUGGGUUAUAAAGGAUGAUGCUUUGAGGGAGAGGAGGAGAAAGGGGGCUUUUGCAGGGGAGUUGAAAGCAGUAAUGGUUUGUUCACAAGGAUUACAAAAGCCUUUCUUAGUGGAAGUAGAACGGGUUCUUGAAUGACUGGUGGUAACAGCAGCAAUAUCGAUGAAAGGAUCAUAGAUGUGUGUGCCUCUGGAAGAAGAGGGUGGAAGAGAGGGGUGAAGGUUUUGCAUUUAAGAAGGGAGGCUAGAUGCAUUUCUUUGUGGGAGGAGGAAAAAUGUAGGGUGGAAAUAAUAAUAGUGUAGGUAUAGCUGGUGAUCUCAUGGAGAGAAGUGAUUAAUCAAUUCCUGGAGCAACAAAGUGAAGAGAGCAGCUAUUUAAGCAGCUUGGGUUUAUGUGAAUUGUCAGAGAGCAGGUUAAGAUUCCAGUUGCAUCUGAGCUGAAGUCUCUACAGAGUCUGCUAUUUUUGGUAGCAAUGUGGAGCAGCAACAAAAGAGGAAGCGUGGUGGGAGAGUAAGCAUUCAGAACCUUCAGUUAAUGUAAUGUAUUAAAUGAAGCCAAGGGUAUGUAGUAACAGCAAAAGACUCCCUUAAAGACUACACUCCAACGCCGGGUAAAAAUUGACUUGCAGUGAUUUAGGAAAAUAGAUAGGUUUUCAGGAGGCAACUGGGGAAAGGAGUUGCCAAAACAAAGACAAACCAAACCAACUACAUAUAAAGAGUGAAGUACUACUUUUCCAGAGGCACAGGAUUCAGCUAAUUCUAGAUAUGACUAGCGAUAUGAAGGAAAGGAUGAUCUUAGCUGCACCUGGAAGAUGCCUUUGAGGGUGAAAAAAUAAUUCAGUAGCCCAUGUUCACUCAGCCCAAAGAUCCUCUUGAUAGAAGAUUUCUAGUCAAAAUGACUGAAUGGCCUCAGAACAAUGUUGGAAAUGACAAUCUUUCAUACUAGGCAGUAUAGCUUCAUGGAUAAAGGACUGGAUUGGGACUCAGGAGACCUGGAUUCUAUUCCUGGUUCUGCCACAGGCUUAUUGGGAAAGUCAUUUCACCUUUCUGGAUAUCACUUGUAACAUGGAGAUGAUGAUGCUGACCUCCUUUGUAAAGCACUUUGAGAGCUACUGAUCAUAGGAGCUGACUCCAUGGGUGUUCCUGAGCUGGCGCAUCCACGGGAAAAAAAAAUAGUGGGUGCUUAGCACCCACCGGCAGCCCUUCCACCCUCCGUCCCACUGGCAGCCUCCC